AUGGUCAGACCUGAUAACAAGACACCACCCACGACUCUGAAAGACUUACCGGCUAGCAAGAACCCAACAAUCCUUGAGGGGAACUGUUCUAGGCCAGCCAAAGGUCCACCGCGGAAUCCCAACCAUGCAUGGUCGAAUAGGAAUUAUCCAUCAUAUAUAGUGAAUACACCUGAGAUUCAAGAUUCACUUUCUGAUCUCUAUCUUUCACUACACUUAUCUUGGACUCUUUAA